GCUGCGGUGGCCUAGCUGGUUAGGGCGCCAGACUCAUAGGGUAAUGUAGCAAUUCGAGGCGCCGUCAUCUGAGACAUCUGGAGAUCGUGGGUUCGGAUCCCACCCGCAGCA
rnacentral:tRNA from 1 species